UGUUUAAAAGUGUUAACACAUGUUGAUACUUAGACAUUAAGCAUGUGGAGACAUUUUUGACAUACGAAGAUAUAAAGGCCUAUAAGUAUUACACAUGUGAUAAUCAUUUCUAAAAUGGUAGACAUAUAAGACAUGCAUGUUAGUCAAGUGAUCAUGAAAGGAUAGAAUAAAUAAUGUAUGAUCAUUACUUAUAAACAAAAAUUGACAUUUUAGUUUCAUUCAAUAAAUAAUGUAUGUGGUCUUUAAUAUAGACCGCAUAUAUAAUUUAUUGAAAUGAACAUAAAAUGUUAAAUUUUGUUUAUAUUAAUGAUCGAAGGGUGUACUAUGAAAUGACAUGUUAGCAUAAUCAUUCACACACUCAAUUUUGAAUGAUGAUGAUUCAAGUAUGGCUCUUGCACUUAUCAUGAUGCAUGAAAUUUUGUUCAAUGACACUUUCACGUAUUUACUUUCCCAUGGUAACUUCUUCCGCACAUUUACACAUAAUUUCUCACAAUACAACACACAGUGUAAUAAACGUAUGGGAUUGAGCUUACUAGUACCGCUAAUCUAAACACUACGAAAAGAACGUGGUUUGUGCUCUUGCAAAUUUGGGUACUUUAAACCCUCUUCGGCUUACUCGACUUACACCAAAAUUUCUUUAGGCGACACAAAAAGUUGCGCGGUAUCUCCGGAUAAUCGAAUUGCACUCUCAAUAUCACUUAGAAAAUUUCUCCUCACCGUACUUCCAUGAUAUUGAUAAUCCUAAACCGCACCGAUGAAUAAUAGAAAGUUAAGUAAAUGUUGUGAGGAGUGUUUUUGACCAUUUGAGGGUUAUUCAUGACCAAGAGAUUGAUUAACUUAAAACUUUAAUGGCGAUUUUAGAAGAGAAUGAGAUCAUGAAAGUUAGGGUUUUUGGAGUGAAAUUUGUGUAGGUAAUUUUUUAGACAAAGGGUUGAUUGAUCUUCACAAGGUAUUACAUGGUUGUAAGUUUUAUAUGAAAAAUGAAGAGGGUUUCAAGGCUGAUCUUCAUAAAUAAUUGUCUAUCAAGCAACUUAACUUAAGAUUCAUGCUUUUCAUUUGUGUAUGACUUUUUGCGAGUUGGAUUUUAAAGAAAAGGUUUGUGAUGAUCAAACCUAUUUUUUUCAUGUAUAUUUGAUAUUUUAAAAAAUA
rnacentral:lncRNA from 1 species